UACGUAGGGUGCAAGCGUUAAUCGGAAUUACUGGGCGUAAAGCGUGCGCAGGCGGUUAUGUAAGACAGAUGUGAAAUCCCCGGGCUCAAACUGGGAACUGCAUUUGUGACUGCAUAGCUAGAGUACGGUAGAGGGGGAUGGAAUUCCGCGUGUAGCAGUGAAAUGCGUAGAUAUGCGGAGGAACACCGAUGGCGAAGGCAAUCCCCUGGACCUGUACUGACGCUCAUGCACGAAAGCGUGGGGAGCAAACAGG
rnacentral:rRNA from 1 species